rnacentral:rRNA from 1 species
AGAGUUUGAUCCUGGCUCAGGACGAACGCUGGCGGCGUGCCUAAUACAUGCAAGUCGAGCGAGCGGAACCAACAGAUUUACUUCGGUAAUGACGUUGGGAAAGCGAGCGGCGGAUGGGUGAGUAACACGUGGGGAACCUGCCCCUAAGUCUGGGAUACCAUUUGGAAACAGGUGCUAAUACCGGAUAAUAAAGCAGAUCGCAUGAUCAGCUUUUGAAAGGCGGCGUAAGCUGUCGCUAAGGGAUGGCCCCGCGGUGCAUUAGCUAGUUGGUAAGGUAACGGCUUACCAAGGCGACGAUGCAUAGCCGAGUUGAGAGACUGAUCGGCCACAUUGGGACUGAGACACGGCCCAAACUCCUACGGGAGGCAGCAGUAGGGAAUCUUCCACAAUGGACGCAAGUCUGAUGGAGCAACGCCGCGUGAGUGAAGAAGGUUUUCGGAUCGUAAAGCUCUGUUGUUGGUGAAGAAGGAUAGAGGUAGUAACUGGCCUUUAUUUGACGGUAAUCAACCAGAAAGUCACGGCUAACUACGUGCCAGCAGCCGCGGUAAUACGUAGGUGGCAAGCGUUGUCCGGAUUUAUUGGGCGUAAAGCGAGCGCAGGCGGAAAAAUAAGUCUAAUGUGAAAGCCCUCGGCUUAACCGAGGAACUGCAUCGGAAACUGUUUUUCUUGAGUGCAGAAGAGGAGAGUGGAACUCCAUGUGUAGCGGUGGAAUGCGUAGAUAUAUGGAAGAACACCAGUGGCGAAGGCGGCUCUCUGGUCUGCAACUGACGCUGAGGCUCGAAAGCAUGGGUAGCGAACAGGAUUAGAUACCCUGGUAGUCCAUGCCGUAAACGAUGAGUGCUAAGUGUUGGGAGG